AUAUAAAAAUAUGAAUAAAAUUUACACAAAGAUAAAAAUAUUGAAGGGGAAAUUGUAAUUAUUCAAAAAAUACACUAAAAUUUAUAGGUAGGGGGGCAAAUGGCAUUUUUUCUAAAAAAAAAACAUUAAAAUUAGGGAUAAAAUUUUAAUUUUGAAAACCCAUGCGCUAUGUAGUCCCCUGUGUGUCUACAUGGCUCUCAACCAUGGUUUUAAAAUUGCGGUCGUAGAUAACGGAAAUAGGCUUGUAAUGGCCGUGAUGUAACAGUAAUGCUAACAGCAUGUUGCUAUGCGAAAUUUUUCUGAAAAUUUACAAAGUUCAUGCAAUGAAUAGAUAUUUAAAAAUAUA
rnacentral:misc_RNA from 1 species